UCUGAUUGAUUAGCUUGAUAUGCUGCAUCAGUUGCCUGCAUUAGCCUGGUAUUUAAUCCUGACCAACAUCUAGUAAAUAAGAAAAUUUGAUUAGCUGGCCAACUUUGCUUAAUGCAAUGUCUGUAAGAACUUCAAUGCUACUUGUGACCUGUUGUUUCAUGUAUUCUGCCGUGUUGUUAUGAUUGUAGAGUUAACCAUUUAGAUCUCAUGCUAUCUCUCAUCAAUAUCGUGUUGUUAUGACCUGUUGUUUCAUGUAUUCUACCGUGUUGUUAUGAUUGUAGAGUUAACCAUUUAGAUCUCAUGCUAUCUCUCAUCAAUAUCCAGGUCUCUACUUUCACCCAAUAACAGUGCUAAAACAGUCUUUUAUCAAGUUAUAGAUUCAUGUCAAAUAUGAUGCAGGAAACAGAGGUGUAAAAUUGUACAAUUGGAGAUUUGAACUGGAACUUUGAAAUAUAACUUGAUAUACAUGUUUUCCAGAAUCAGGUUGGGUAUCAAUUCCUUAGUGAGUGUGAGGAGCUUAUAUGGUAGAAUUUGUAUUCCUUCAGUAGACGCCAACAUGAUAUAUUAGAUAUUAAAUACCUCCACUAAUUUUGUGGUCUGUUGUUAACAAGUAAUUGAUAUUGUUAGCAACAUAUGUUUAACAUAGGACCC
rnacentral:lncRNA from 1 species